CAGCGCCGCGGGAAUACGAAGGGGGCUAGCGUUACUCGGAAUUACUGGGCGUAAAGGGCGCGUAGGCGGCACGAUUAGUCAGGCGUGAAAUUCCUGGGCUCAACCUGGGGACUGCGCUUGAUACGGUCGAGCUAGAGGAUGGAAGAGGGUCGUGGAAUUCCCAGUGUAGAGGUGAAAUUCGUAGAUAUUGGGAAGAACACCGGUGGCGAAGGCGGCGACCUGGUCCAUUACUGACGCUGAGGCGCGACAGCGUGGGGAGCAAACAGGAUUAGAGACCCCUGUAGUCCCUGUCUCUUAUACA
rnacentral:rRNA from 1 species